rnacentral:lncRNA from 1 species
AUUUUAUAAAAUCCCACUUCGUGUGCUUGCACUUACUCUUGUUUUCCCUCUCCCCUCCCCUCCCUUGCAAGGUCUCAGUUUGCAAGGAGUUUUUAUCCUAAGGACUCCAAGGAGCUUUUAUCCUAAGUCAGGAAAGAAAUUGGCCAAAAUGCAGACAGCUGUAUUUAAUUGUUUUAUUUAUUUACUAUAUUUCUUUACUCUGUGUUAAAGACUUCUGCAUCUAUAACUGAUGAUGUCCUCAGAGAAAACAGGCACGGCUCCAGGUCUGCGUUGUUUUCCUGGCUUGCAUGGACUUUCUCAAGGCAGGGAGUCCCUCGGACACUUCUUUCCAGGCCUCUAAAGGCUACAGAUAUGCAGCACUGUUGUUCUCAGCUAAAGAUAAAUCAGAUGUGAGAAAUUUUUGUGGAAAUGUGUACAGUCCUGGGGGAGAGCAAGUUCGUCAAGGAAGCUUCUUUCAGCUCCUCUCGUUGGAGAAAAUCUUUGGUACUCGAAGAUCACACAGUGGAAUCCUGACCCACUGA